CUUGGCUUCAAGCAGACAAUAGGCCUCAUUACUUCCUAGUUUUGUUAGCUCAGUGGAGCUAAACUCAAGAGGCAUUGAGCUGCAUUGGGAGAUUUGUGAAUGGACAGCCACAGAAAGUCUGGGCAGGGCUAGAAGGGGAGGGUUUGCAAAGGCAUCAGACAAGAGAACUGCAGGUUUUGCAAGCUCUUUUUAGAGUUACCCCAAAUGGGAAAAAACAUAAUUUAAGACAUGCAAGUUUUC